rnacentral:lncRNA from 1 species
AUGCUCUUGCUGCUCUCCCAGGGCACUGACUCCAUGCCAUGGUACCUGCCACAGUGCCACUGUCACCUUCCCUGUGUCACCUUCCCCAUGGUCACCCUCCCUGGGGCAGGCACAGGCACGAGAAGUGAUGAUAACGAUGAUUCAGGGCUGGGCCAUGAGGAGCUUUGGUUCUGUUCCUCAGGUAAGCGAAGCAAACCCUUGGGAUUCCAGAGCUGUCCAGGCAGCUCUGCAGAGCCCAUGGAGGGGACAGCUUUGGGUCACUGUCAUUCACUGCUGUGCAAAGCCCACCAACCUUUCUGGUCCCCCCAGGCCUUCAGAGCACUCUCCUGGGUCAGGACAUGCUGCAGGUCUCUGCUGCUCUCCCGCUCGUCACCCCAGCAGGACCCUCCUGUCUCCUGUGCCUGCUCUGCUCCCCCAGACCUGCUCCCCUUCCAGCAGCUCACCCCAGCUCCCAGGACAGGCUGCAGGAUGGUUUCCUACAUGCCUGCUGCUCCUCCCUCUGCUGCUGUCUUGCCUGAGGUAGAGGUGAGCUGGGGUAGUGUAAUGCUGGUUGUUUUUGGUAGAUGGGAGAGGGGAUGUCACUUGGGCCUGCUAAAAGUGUCCCCUCCAUCUCCACCUGUGGUGGAGACCCCAGGUCCUUCUUCCCCAGAGCCACAGGCCUCCUUUGCACUCCCCAGCUCUGGCCAGCUUUACCCCUGUGAACUGCUGCUUGCUCAGCUUCCAUCACACAGAGCUUUGCAUGGACAGAGGGAACAUGGAAUCCAGAGAUUCCUGUAUCCCAGAGAUUCCUGUAUCCCCCAGAGAUUCCUGUAUCCCAGAGAUUCCUGUAUCCCAGAGAUUCCUGUAUCCCAGGUACAGCCUGACUGGAUCAUCCCAGAGCACGUGGGGCUGGAACAGCCCUGCACUGCAGCCCCACUGCCUCACCUGGGGGCAGGUUUCUCACUGUGCUGCGUGUGACAGGCCUGAAUCAUCACCUGUCCUUGGGAACAGCUAUGCCAGGAAUAUGUAUUUAUGUACAUAAAAGCAUAAAUGCCGGUGCCUGUGUCCUGGUUUUGGCUGGGAUAGAGUUAAUUUUCUUCCCAGUAGCUGGUCCAGUGCUGUGUUUUGGAUUUAGCGUGGGAAUAAUGUUGGUAACAGCCCAUGUUGUAGUUGUGGCUGAGUUGUGCUUACUCCCAAGUGAAGGACAUUUCUCUGCCAGGGAGCAGAGGCACAAGGAGUGGGGAGCAUGGCCAGCAGAGCUGAUCUGGACGGGCCAGAGGGAUAUUCUGUUCCACAGAGCAUCCUGCCAGAACAGAAACGGGGCUGGGAGCUGUCUGCCACUGCUGUGCGACGAGCUGGGUCAGGGGUGAUGAACAACCGUGUUGGGCAGCUCUGGCAGGGAGGAAUUCCUUCCCAAUAUCCGAGAGCCCUCUCGGGCCGCAGGAAAUGCUGUGUUGGCUUUGGGUUAAUCCUCCGGUACAUCUGCAAGGGCAAGAAAUGACUUUGUGUCGAGGCAGAGCCUUGGGCCCUGGGAGGACGCGGAGCCUGGGCGCUGCAGGCCAGAGACGUGUCCUGAGUGCCCCGAUCCCCCCAGCCCCGGCACCGAGCCCAUCCAGGCCGUGGCUGCCAGCCCUGGGCCGGAGCCUUGUCCAUCCGUCCAUGGCGGCUCCAGGAAGGCAGCGGGACGCGGCAGAGGCGCAGCCCGGCGUGUUCUCCGUGUCAGCCGGCAAAGCCGGGGCGGGAGCGACCACAUCCCGCUGCUUUCUGUGUUCUGGUGCCGAGGGGAGGCCGUGGGA